rnacentral:rRNA from 1 species
CCUACGGGGGGCAGCAGUGAGGAAUAUUGCACAAUGGGGGAAACCCUGAUGCAGCGACGCCGCGUGUGGGAAGACGGUCCUCUGGAUUGUAAACCACUGUCCCCAGGGACGAAGAUGACGGUACCUGGGGAGGAAGCUCCGGCUAACUACAUGCCAGCAGCCGCGGUAAUACGUGGGGAGCGAGCGUUGUCCGGAAUUCCUGGGUGAAAAGGGAGCGUAGGCGGGGAUGCAAGUUGGGGGUCAAAACUACCGGCUCAACUGGUAGUCGCACUCAAAACUGCAGCUCUUGAGUGAAGUAGAGGCAGGCGGAAUUCCUAGUGUAGCGGUGAAAUGCGUAGAUAUUAGGAGGAACACCAGUGGCGAAGGCGGCCUGCUGGGCUUUUACUGACGCUGAGGCUCGAAAGUGUGGGGAGCAAACAGGAUUAGAUACCCUUGUAGUC